GAGGGUAUAAGCCCAGUGGUACAGUGCGUGCUUAGCAUGCAUGAGGUCCUGGGUUCAAUCCCCAGUACUUCCA
rnacentral:tRNA from 1 species